rnacentral:lncRNA from 1 species
CCCAGCCCCACUGCCAAGAUUGCAUAGGCUUUCAGUGGGAAGAGCCUUCUGCUUGGGGUUUUAAUGGCCCCUAAGAAGGUGAAGGAAAUAGGCUAAGAGAAUGGUCAGCAGGUUUUUUCCUUGCUGUCCGGGGAACACAAACAAUGCCAUUACUAGACUCCUUGAAAGGGAAAUGGCCAUCCAGGUACCCCUUCCUGAACCCAGGCCUGGGGCCUCAGGCCUGCUGGCCAGUGGGCAGCCUGCUCAGUGUGCUGCUUCCAAAGCAGUUUCCAAGAGCAACUGAAAG